rnacentral:precursor_RNA from 15 species
CCUGGGCGGCCUCCCUGGCGGUUCGCUGGGGUGCAUUGUAGUUGCAUUGCAUGUUCUGGCAGUACCCGUGCAAUGUGUCCACAGUGCAUCCCAGAGGCCUGCCCAGCCCUCAAGCAGACGC